ACAGCGUUAUCUUCCCUGAGAGUUCUUAUUGGCGGGGAGGUUUGCGACCUCGAUGUUGGAUUAAGGUGAAUUUUCGGUGCAGGAGCUGAAAUUGAUUGGGUCUGUUCGACCUUUAAAAUCUUACAUGAUCUGAGUUCAGACCGGCGUGAGCCAGGUUGGUUUCUAUCUAUAAAUAAUUUUUAUACCUUAGUACGAGAGGACCGGGUAU
rnacentral:rRNA from 1 species